CAAUAGCGUAUAUUAAAGUUGUUGCAGUUAAAAAGCUCGUAGUCGGAUUUUGGCAUCACGCCGAACUGUCUGCCGAUUGGUAAGUACGGUUUGGCGGGUGCUUCCUUCCGGAGGCUCGUUCCCUUCUUCAUUGAAGGGUUCGUUGGUUCCGGGUCUUUUACUUUGAGAAAAUUAGAGUGUUCUAAAGCAGGCCUAUGCUCUGAAUAGGUUAGCAUGGAAUAAUAGAAUAGGACUAUGGUCUCUUUGUUGGUUUGAGGGACUGCAGUAAUGAUUAAUAGGGAUAGUUGGGGGCAUUAGUAUUUAAUUGUCAGAGGUGGAAUUCUCAGAUUUGUUAAAGACUAACUUAUG
rnacentral:rRNA from 1 species